GGGGAUGUGGCUCAGUGGUAGAGCGCUCGCCUUGCACACAUGAGACCCUGGGUUCGAUCCUCGGCACCA
rnacentral:tRNA from 1 species